GACGGGACCCGCACAAGCGGUGGAUGAUGUGGUUUAAUUCGAUGCAACGCGAAAACCUUACCCACCUUUGACAUGUACGGAAUCCUUUAGAGAUAGAGGAGUGCUCGAAAGAGAGCCGUAACACAGGUGCUGCAUGGCUGUCGUCAGCUCGUGUCGUGAGAUGUUGGGUUAAGUCCCGCAACGAGCGCAACCCUUGUCAUUAGUUGCUACAUUCAGUUGGGCACUCUAAUGAGACUGCCGGUGACAAACCGGAGGAAGGUGGGGAUGACGUCAAGUCCUCAUGGCCCUUAUAGGUGGGGCCUACACACGUCAUACAAUGGAUGGUACAAAGGGUCGCCAACCCGCGAGGGGGAGCCAAUCCCAUAAAGCCAUUCGUAGUCCGGAUCGCAGUCUGCAACUCGACUGCGUGAAGUCGGAAUCGCUAGUAAUCGUGGAUCAGAAUGUCACGGUGAAUACGUUCCCGGGUCUU
rnacentral:rRNA from 1 species